rnacentral:lncRNA from 1 species
CAAUUUGGCAGGAACUUCAUCAGAAAGAUAAUGUCCCUACAUGAGCUCACGAACCGCUCAAGAUCUCAAAGCCGAAUCAUAUGUGUUAUCCAACGGAGCACAUGGAGAAAUGCGUGUAAGUAAAUGUUUAUCCAAGAAGGAUGGCGGUUCAUAUAGCAUAUCAGCGAAGCAUCUUACAGUAUGUGCCUGCAAUAAGAAACUAUUGACAAAGUUCCCAUAUUCUGUAAAAUGCUUGGAUUCCUUUUACAUAUGGUGGCGCUUCAUCAUGCAUCUAUUGUUUACAUGGACUUGUACUCAGUUGUGCUUCCUGGUUGCUUCCUGCAAGAAAAAAAAUCGAAAGCAGAAUGUCUGUGAUUAAGCAAAGAGGUACGGGUGAUGGGCAAAAAAAAACUAUUCCAGAUGUAAGCUUGGUGCAAGAUCUAAAACAGCAAACAACCCAGGACUGGAGCAAACAAGACAGUCAAGGGGAUUCCUUCUCCUGAUAACAACUGAAUUGAUAUAUCGUAUGUGUUUCUUAAGGACUGAAGGAGAUAAUUUGUUUCUGAGGGCACACCUUGCUGUUGAAACAUAGCAGUUCUUAGUUCUUGUACUUCAUGGUCUCUUUCUCGAAUCCAAUUGUUGGGAAUUGUUUCGCAUAUUCCUCCACAUCGUGGCGAAGCUUUGCAAUUUCAGCUUGGAUGUUGCUGUCGGAUUGCAAAGUGGCAACGAAGUCCUUCAGUUUGG